rnacentral:rRNA from 1 species
CCUACGUGGUGCAGCAGUCGAGAAUCAUUCACAAUGGGGGAAACCCUGAUGGUGCGACGCCGCGUGGGGGAAUGAAGGUCUUCGGAUUGUAAACCCCUGUCAUGUGGGAGCAAAUUAAAAAGCUUGUACCACAAGAGGAAGAGACGGCUAACUCUGUGCCAGCAGCCGUGGUAAUACAGAGGUCUCAAGCGUUGUUCGGAAUCACUGGGCGUAAAGCGUGCGUAGGCUGUUUCGUAAGUCGUGUGUGAAAGGCGCGGGCUCAACCCGCGAACGGCACCUGAUACUGUGAGACUAGAGUGAUGGAGGGGGAACCGGAAUUCUCGGUGUAGCAGUGAAAUGCGUAGAUAUCGAGAGGAACACUCGUGGCGAAGGCGGGUUCCUGGACAUUAACUGACGCUGAGGCACGAAGGCCAGGGGAGCGAAAGGGAUUAGAUACCCCUGUAGUC